rnacentral:lncRNA from 1 species
CCCGACUCGAUGUUACAUUACCAGAGCAUUCACUAAUUACAAACUCUAGUCAAAAGCUAGUACUAAGAGGAGUAAUCUAUGCUAAGUCUCCUCACCAAAAGGUAUCUUCAAUACCACGCUAGAACAGCAGUCUAAACGUCGGCACAAUCCUCAGCCUGAAUAUCUGAACCCCCAAAGGUCCAGCAAAUAACACAAAGCAGAGAGUUAGAAAACAUAAUCGCAUAUCAUACGAGCAUAAGAAAGACCUUACACUUUCGAACUACAUCAUACAUAUUCUAACUCACGUCAAAACAUCGCACACGACAAUUAUCAAUUAAUAAGGUUCAACACCACUCAACCAAAUAAUGUCACUUACCAUUUAUCAAAUAUAUGCACAUUUACCCUAAGGUAUCUAAUGCCAAUUAAUUCACUGUCAUGCCAUCCCUAGACAUAACUAAAUGCAUGUGGUACCAAGAUGUCUCACCAACGGUGGACCAAGAACAGUUUUAUAUCAUGCUGGAUAUGNNNNNNNNNNNNNNNNNNNNNNNNNNNNNNACAUGAUAAUUAUCUGCAUACUCAUUUUUAUACACACAAGGUUUCAUUUACACUUAUGUCAUAAAACAUACAUCAUUCUCUUAUCAUUGCAAUUAAUGCUAAAACAUAUACAUUGCUCACUUUAAGCUACACUCAUUGCAUACACGUUUAUCAUUCAUAUAACGAUUAACAAUAAGCAUUAACAGCAUCAACAUGUAUUAACAAUCAUGUAAGGAUACUCUUAAACCAUGAUACAAGUGCCUAAUCACACUUAGAAACAUCAACAAGAAUUGCUGUCACAGAGGCCUUCGCUAAGCGAAGCCUUAGCGAGACUUGGCGAACUACGCCAGGAAGUCACCUGCUCAUGGCGAGACUUGGCGAGACUUGGCGAGCUUCGACGAACUAUUCGCUGAGCGAAGGCUUAGCGAGCCUAAGCGAACCUCACCCGGGAACCACCUGCUCAUAGCGAGCUUCGGCGAGAUCCAGCGAACCUGUUCGCUACAGCGAACCCCUGGUCGCUUAGCGAACCACACCAGAACAGAAUAUUUGUUCUUGAGUUAUCUAAGGCGGUUUAACCUCAAAUCAACUCAAAAAUUCAUCCAAACAUGUUAUAAAUUCAUAUAAACAGCCAUUCCAAACAUAUAUGGUAUCAAGGAACAUUAAUCNNNNNNNNNNNNNNNNNNNNNNNNNNNUAAAAGAAAUUGAGUGGGAGAGUUCGGGAACGGAGACAUAGACAAUCUCCCCCCUCCUUGUCACUCAAGAAUCAUGAAUUCUAAUCUCUUACCUUAAGCAAAGAUGAUGAUCCAAGCUUUCUCUUGCUCAAGCUUUCUCUUAGCCAAAACCCUAGCUCUUGCUCUAUCUUGCUUCUACUCACUCAAACUC